rnacentral:rRNA from 1 species
AACGAACGCUGGCGGCAGGCCUAACACAUGCAAGUCGAGCGGACAUCUUCGGAUGUUAGCGGCGGACGGGUGAGUAACGCGUGGGAACGUGCCCUUUGCUUCGGAAUAGCCUCGGGAAACUGGGAGUAAUACCGGAUGUACCCUUUGGGGGAAAGAGUUAUCGGCAAAGGAUCGGCCCGCGUUGGAUUAGGUAGUUGGUGGGGUAAUGGCCUACCAAGCCGACGAUCCAUAGCUGGUGUGAGAGGAUGAUCAGCCACACUGGGACUGAGACACGGCCCAGACUCCUACGGGAGGCAGCAGUGGGGAAUCUUAGACAAUGGGGGAAACCCUGAUCUAGCCAUGCCGCGUGAGCGAUGAAGGCCUUAGGGUUGUAAAGCUCUUUCACCGGGGAAGAUAAUGACGGUACCCGGAGAAGAAGCCCCGGCUAACUCCGUG